rnacentral:rRNA from 1 species
UACAGAGGGGGCUAGCGUUAUUCGGAAUUAUUGGGCGUAAAGGGCGCGUAGGCGGCCAUGCGUGUCUUCCGUGAAAUCCCUCGGCUUAACUGAGGACGUGCGGAAGAAACUGCAAGGCUCGGAGUCCGGGGAGAGGGGGGUGGAAUUCCCAGUGUAGCGGUGAAAUGCGUAGAUAUUGGGAGGAACACCGGUGGCGAAGGCGGCCCCUGGACCGGUACUG